UCAAAGGCUCUUUUCAGAGCCACCCACUCUUUUCUGUAAAGUGCUGG
rfam:Oryctolagus cuniculus chromosome 12, whole genome shotgun sequence.